AUGGAUGACCAUAGAUCUGAGUCUGGUAGCCGUGGCGUGCAGCGGGAUGGUUGUGGCAACGACACCCCGGGCGCAGCCGCCGUCGGAGAUGAUUCCGACCUGGACGGGUCAUCCUCCAGCGCUGUGCCCGGAGAUCCACCCGCGUCAACAUCACGCAUCUCCUUGAAGCAUGCAAUCAGUGUAAUUCAGACUUUUGAUGACUACAAGAAGUGGUUAGUAGAGCAGAUUGGGUUUGGAGGUAUGCUGAAGCUGCCAGCACUACAGAAGCUGAGUCUGAAGACGAGCGCGUGGAUUAUGAGCAGAGUUAGCAUCAGCCGCAGGGAGAUUAAAUUGAGGGACAACAAGGUUCUUAAGUUUUACCCACAGGAUUUCUACAAGGUUUUCGGGAUACCAUGUGGCCACCGUAGUGUGAAGGGGAGGGAUGCAAACAUCAAUCCUGAGGCUGUUCAUUUUAUAAAGACAACACUUCAGAUGAACAAAACAGGAGUACACAGCUUGAGGGCAGCUGAAGAUUUUUUGAUGCAUGACAUCAAUGAGAAUUCAAGCAAACUAGAGAAAGAUUGUUUCCAGAUCGCAUUUGUGAUAUUCGUUAUGGGUCAUGUGCUAGUUCCAACCACGAAGCACAACUACACGACCAUUGACUUUUGGGGAGCCAUAGCAAACACUGAAUCAAUCGAUCAAUUUAACUGGUGUGAGUAUGUCCUUCAGCACCUUCUCGAUGCAGUUAAGAAGCUUAAGAGAGACAUGUUGGCCAAUAAUUUAUCGACCAACCUAACUGGUUGUCAUCUUUUUUUCAAGCAAGUCUUUUUGCUUGACAACCUCGACCUUGGCAUUUUCAAUAAGUCGCAUAGUGUGCUUCCUCGGAUAUCAGAAUUUGACCCCGAGUCCUUCCGUCGAAUGCUUGCCAUGGCUGCUGACCCAGUUAAAGGAACUACCUCCUACGCGCAUGCCAAUCUGAGAGAUGCUUCGACAGUAUGCUACACACGCCACAAGUUUCCGCCAUCAGCUCCGCCGUCUGCAACCACCAACAGGCUUACUAGGCGUUCCGGCACGCCGACGGCAGGACACCCCCCGAACACAACUCCUGUAAUGCAUGGGCAAACAGAGGUUUUAACACCUACCGGUCCCGCUCCCGGGCCACUUCAUUUUGCAAAGUAUCUACGGGACAAGUAUUCUCAUCUAGUAUGUGCUUCCUCUUUAAUUUUUUUAUGCUUUAAUUUCCGAAAUCAGUUACCAGUGAUUGUAAAUCCCCAGGUCCUCACCAUACAAUGUAUCGCAGCACUCCCUACCACCUCCAAGUCUGUAUGGUUUAGGACGCCUUUCACAGAAAAAAAUAUAGGGACAAAGGCUUGA
rnacentral:rRNA from 1 species